rnacentral:rRNA from 1 species
AACAGGAAAGAGCCCAAACCGGCAGAUUUAUCUGCCGGGGUUGUAGGACUGAGACAUGGCACUUCAGAGGAUAGCAGAAGCGUUUGGGAAAGCGCGCCAGAGAGGGUGAGAGCCCCGUAAGCGAAAUCCAAAGAAGGCCUAUCAGUAUCCUGAGUAGGGCGGGACACGUGAAAUCCCGUUUGAAUCCGCGAGGACCAUCUCGCAAGGCUAAAUACUAACCAGUGA